rnacentral:rRNA from 1 species
UACAGAGGGGGCAAGCGUUGUUCGGAAUUACUGGGCGUAAAGGGCGCGUAGGCGGCCUUCUAAGUCGAACGUGAAAUCCCCGGGCUCAACCCGAGAACUGCGUCCGAUACUGGAAGGCUUGAAUCCGGGAGAGGGAUGCGGAAUUCCAGGUGUAGCGGUGAAAUGCGUAGAUAUCUGGAGGAACACCGGUGGCGAAGGCGGCAUCCUGGACCGGCAUUGACGCUGAGGCGCGAAAGCCAGGGGAGCAAACGGG